rnacentral:rRNA from 1 species
CGAAGGGUGCAAGCGUUACUCGGAAUUACUGGGCGUAAAGCGUGCGUAGGUGGUGAGUUAAGUCUGUCGUGAAAGCCCCGGGCUCAACCUGGGAAUGGCGAUGGAUACUGGCUCGCUAGAGUGCGGUAGAGGAGAGUGGAAUUCCCGGUGUAGCAGUGAAAUGCGUAGAGAUCGGGAGGAACAUCAGUUGCGAAGGCGGCCAUCUGGGACAACACUGACGCUGAAGCACGAAAGCGUGGGGAGCAAACAGG